rnacentral:rRNA from 1 species
UACGUAGGGUGCGAGCGUUAAUCGGAAUUACUGGGCGUAAAGCGUGCGCAGGCGGUUCGUCGUGUCUGAUGUGAAAGCCCCGGGCUCAACCUGGGAAUGGCAUUGGAAACUGGCGGACUAGAGUGUGGCAGAGGGGGGUGGAAUUCCGCGUGUAGCAGUGAAAUGCGUAGAGAUGCGGAGGAACACCGAUGGCGAAGGCAGCCCCCCUGGGCUAACACUGACGCUCAGGCACGAAAGCGUGGGGAGCAAACAGG